rnacentral:rRNA from 1 species
CAAUAGCGUAUAUUAAAGUUGUUGCAGUUAAAAAGCUCGUAGUUGGAUUUGUGGCGUACGGUGUGUUCCGGGCACUUGUUGUCUGAGUAACCUGCUGUUGCCAUCCUUGGGUGGAACCUGUGUGGCAUUAGGUUGUCGUGCAGGGGAUGCCCAUCAUUUACUGUGAAAAAAUUAGAGUGUUCAAAGCAGGCUUAUGCCGUUGAAUAUAUUAGCAUGGAAUAAUGAGAUAGGACUUUUUUGCUAUUUUGUUGGUUUGCGCAAGAAGGUAAUGAUUAAUAGGGACAGUUGGGGGUAUUCGUAUUCCAUUGUCAGAGGUGAAAUUCUUGGAUUGUUGGAAGACGAACUACUGCGAAAGCAUUUACCAAGGAUGUUUUCAUUAA